UAUAAUAUAGUUUGAGAUCUGGGACUGGAAGGCCCCCUUCCUUUGUAUUUUUUUCAUUGUUUCCCUGGAUAUCCUUGAACAAAGUAAUUCUUAAAUAGUAGUGAAUGGGAAGCAGUAGGAAUUGAGUCAUUAAGAAGUGUCAGAUUUAAAUUAAUUUGGAGCAAGGGAAAUAUAGAACAAUUAUGAAUAUGUUCACGUCAACUGAGUUUUAUAGAGAAAUUUAAUUAAUAAUACAAUGAUUAAUCAAUAGAAAGAGAGAGUAAGAAAAGGAAUAAGUAUGAAGGGCCUUAAGCCAAUAUGGCUUAGACCUGAAUCUUAAGAGAGAAAUCAGUCAGUUUGUUAUAACUCACCAUAAGAUCUGUCUAAGUAAGGAUUCUAAUGACAAUGGACAGCGUCCUUCCUCAAAGAGCCUCCCAGCCAGGGAUCGUUUCGAAGGGCCUCUCUCUUGAGAGCCUCCAGGGGGACAGAGCCCCUCAGAGGAGCUCCUCAAGGAGCUUUCCUUCAGAAUGAGAUUCUUCAGAAUGAGUUCUCCUCAAUCUGAAUGUUUCAGAAUGGGAUCUCUCAGAAUGAGCUCUUCUCAACCUGAGAUCCAGCUCUUCUCUGAGCUCUUAUUUUUAAGCACAAAAUCUCAUGUCACCUCCCCUAAGUCCUUACAUCUACAAAUCACUGUAGAUGUUUCUAAAGGACUGCCCAUUUUGAAUUCACAGCUGAGUAGUUUUAAAUCUCUUUAGUAAGUCAGGAAAAAAUGCUGCUGUGUCAACUAAUUUCAUCAGGAGGAAACCUCUGAAGAAGUUAUCACCCUUUUAGGUUUAAGUAGUUUACAAGUUGCCCCACCUUUAUAGGUACUUAGUAUCCCAUUGUAUCAAUUCUAGAAACAGUCAUGACUCAAGAACUUCCUGUCCCUUCCAUGAGCAUGGAUCAAAGUACUUUCAUUGUUUAGCAAGAAGUUUCUGCCCUAAAGCAGUCCCAAGUAGGGUGGAGCAGGGACACUCCCAUAGCUGGGAGCCCCCACACUCAAAUAGAGUUCUCACCAUCUGCUAGGGACUUUUUUUUUUAAGUAGAAGUUUCCCCAAUGGGGGAAACCCCUAACAUUCAUAAGUCUGAGAAAUUUUAAGGUUUACAGAAGUUAGAAUGACCUCUUGAAAGAUGGAAGUGUCCCAGGCCUUAGCCAUUGAGUCCAAAGAAUUCAUUUUUACAUUGAAAAAAUUAAGGCUUAGAGAUUAUGUAGGACAAUCCUUGACUGUUAUUGAUGAAAACUAUGAAAUAAUGGUUUCCUUAAAACCAUUCAGUGAAUUAGUAUGAGAACAAGGCUUCAAAUCUAGUUAUUAUGAGUCCUAGCCCAGUAAUCAUUCCUUGACAUCAACCAGCUUGAGAACUUGGGGGAACAGAAUUGGUAACUGAAGUAUCCUCUAUGUUUCAAAUUGUUAAUGUAAAUGCAUCUACUAAUAAGCUCUCUCUCUCUCUCUCUCUCUCUCUCUCUCUCUCUCUCUCUCUCUCUCUCUCUCUCUCUCUCAUUCUUUUUCUCUCUCACCAUUUAUAGGCAUUGUUAAAAAUAGACGCUGUGAGUAAUAUUUUCUUAAUUAUUUCCCCAUAUAUGCAUGAAGUGAUAAUUCAUACACUAGGAGAAUCUGGGAAUUUAUGUGAUCAUAAGUUUUAUAAAUCAAUACACCCGUCAAGGCUUCCUAAUUUGUAGAGGAGAUAUUAUCCUUUUCAGUUUCCCUUACUUGUGUGGUUUAUUUGCACCAAGUCUUUCUUAAGGAAUAAAACAAAGGAAAAAUUUGAAAAAGUAAGUGAA
ensembl:lncRNA